GACGAACGCUGGCGGCGUGCUUAACACAUGCAAGUCGAGCGGUAAGGCCCUUUCGGGGGUACACGAGCGGCGAACGGGUGAGUAACACGUGGGUGACCUGCCCUCAGCUCUGGGAUAAGCCUGGGAAACCGGGUCUAAUACUGGAUAUGACUCCAUGACGCAUGUUGUGGGGUGGAAAGCCUUGUGCGGCUGAGGAUGGGCCCGCGGCCUAUCAGCUUGUUGGUGGGGUGAUGGCCUACCAAGGCGACGACGGGUAGCCGGCCUGAGAGGGCGACCGGGCCACACUGGGACUGAGACACGGCCCAGACUCCUACGGGAGGCAGCAGUGGGGAAUCUUGCGCAAUGGGCGAAAGCCUGACGCAGCGACGCCGCGUGAGGGAUGACGGCCUGG
rnacentral:rRNA from 1 species